rnacentral:rRNA from 1 species
AGGGCACCACCAGAUGUGGAGCUUGCGCCUUAAUUUGACUCAAGACGGAAAAACUUACCCGGCCCGGACACUGGGAGGAUUGACAGAUUGAGAGCUCUUUCUUGAUUCAGCGGGUGGUGGUGCAUGAUCGUUCUUAGUUGGUGGAGAGAUUUGUCUGGUUAAUUCCGAUAACCAACUUCCUUCUAGCUGACUAAAUAGACCGCCGACUUUUAAACGUCGACAGCGACUUCUUAGAGGGAAAGGGGGUGAUUCCACCGCUCCAAACAAACAAGUAACAGGUCUGGGAAGACCAUAUAUGCCAGGGGCCGCACGCGUGCUACAAUGAAGUGAUCAGCAUGGUUUGUGUUCCUGCUCCGUCAGGAGUGCCCCCCUGAUUGAACCUUCUUCGUGAUUGGUAUAGGCAAAUGUGAUUAUUCUCCUUGAAAGUAGAAUAUCAAGUAAGCGCAAGUCAUGGACUUGCGUUGAUUACGUCUCCUGCCCUUUGUACACACGCUUACGUCGCUACUACCGAUUGAAUGA